UUAAUGUUUGUCUAACACUUCAGAUAGCACCUGGAUGUCUUAGGACAACUGCCCUCAAGUCUUAAUGUGGACUUUCUUCUCAAUUCAUGUGCAUGAAUUAAUCUCAUGUGCAUGAAUUAAUCCAUUGUAAAUCAUGAUUAAAUUCCUGGAUAUAUAUAUAUAAGAUAUUACCAGACAAAAACACUGUCCAUAUUAAUUAGUAUAACUGUAUAAUAUGUAAUGAAAAAACCUAUUCCACUUUCUUUUGCCAUGAAUAUCACAUGAUAAAUGAGAUUUUUAGCUCACCUGGCCCGAAGAGCCGGUGAGGUUAUGCCAUGGUGCAGCGUCCGUCGUAUGUUUUUCAUCUGGCGUCCGGCAACAUUUCCUUUAAAUUCAUACUAGUCCUAAACAUCUGAAUAGAUUUUGAUGAAAUUUGAUCUGGAACAUUAUUGGGCAAAGGAGAUCAAACGUUAUAUAAAUGGAGGGUGUGGCUCCUCUGGGGCCAGAGGUUCGGGGCCCAGUAGGGGAAAUUGAGGUAAAUCCUUUAAAUCCCUGCUAGUCUUGAACGCCAGAAUCGAUUUUGAUGAAACUUGGUCUGGAGCAUUAUUUGGCAAAGGAGAUUAAAACAUUGUAUAAUGUAGGGUGUGGCUUCCCUGGGGCUGGAGGGGCCGGGCCCAAUAGGGGAAAUUGAGGUAAAUCCUUUAAAUCCCUACUAGUUUCGAACAACUGAAUGUAUUUUGGUGAAAUUUGGUCUGGAGCAUUACUGGGUAAAGAAAAUCUAAUGUUGUAUAAGUGGAAGAUGUGACCCUGUUGGGGUUGGAAAAGUAUAGCAAAAACAUUUUUUUUUUAGAAAUCUUUUUCUUUUUGAAGAACAACAGGAUAUGGUCCACCUGUAGUUUGAACUAUUGUUGGCAGAGGCAGUUCAAGAGUAGGAAAACAUUUGAAAUACCUGGUAUAACUUCGAUUAGUUUAUGUUGCAAUAAUUGCUGAAAUAUCCAGUUGAGCGUUGCAGGCCCUUUGGGCCUCUUGUUAACCAAGUUCUGGACCCUGUAUUCCAAUGACAGUUGUAUUUGGUUAAUCAGUGGAUCAUUACAGCUCUGUAGGUCACAUAGAAAUGACAUGUCAGAAUUUAAAUGAGGUUUAACAUACACCCCUAUCUUUAUAAGGAGUAGUGGAUAUCUCCUAAUGGCUUUAUCAGUCCUAAACAGCUGGUGUAAAUCAGGUUAACUUUACACCACACUGCGGUAAGGUAAAUCCCUUCAGAUGUACUUUACACCACACUGUGGUAAGGUAAAUCCCUUCAGAUUUACUUUACACCACACUGUGGUAAGGUGAAUCCCUUCAGAUUUACUUUACACCACACUGUGGUCAGGUAAAUCCCUUCAGAUUUAUUACACCACACUGUGGUAAGGUAAAUCCCUUCAGAUUUACUUUACACCACACUGUGGUAAGGUGAAUCCCUUCAGAUUUACUUUACACCACACUGUGGUAAGGUGAAUCCCUUCAGAUUUACUUUACACCGCACUGUGGUAAGGUAAAUCCCUUCAGAUUUACUUUACACCACACCGUGGUAAGGUAAAUCCCUUCAGAUCUACUUUACACCACACCGUGGUAAGGUAAAUCCCUUCAGACUUAACACCACACUGUGGUAAGGUAAAUCCCUUCAGAUCUACUUUACACCGCACUGUGGUAAGGUGAAUCCCUUCAGAUUUACUUUACACCACACCGUGGUAAGGUGAAUCCCUUCAGAUUUACUUUACACCACACUGUGGUAAGGUAAAUCCCUUCAGAUCUACUUUACACCACACUGUGGUAAGGUAAAUCCCUUCAGAUCUACUUUACACCACACUGUGGUAAGGUGAAUCCCUUCAGAUUUACUUUACACCAUACUGUGGUAAGGUGAAUCCCUUCAGAUUUACUUUACACCACACUGUGGUAAGGUGAAUCCCUUCAGAUUUACUUUACACCACACUGUGGUAAGGUGAAUCCCUUCAGAUUUACUUUACACCACACCGUGGUAAGGUAAAUCCCUUCAGAUUUACUUUACACCACACUGUGGUAAGGUAAAUCCCUUCAGGUUUACUUUACACCACACUGUGGUAAGGUGAAUCCCUUCAGACUUAACACCACACUGUGGUAAGGUAAAUCCCUUCAGAUUUACUUUACACCACACUGUGGUAAGGUAAAUCCCUUCAGAUUUACUUUACACCACACUGUGGUAAGGUGAAUCCCUUCAGAUUUACUUUACACCACACUGUGGUAAGGUAAAUCCCUUCAGAUUUACUUUACACCACACCGUGGUAAGGUAAAUCCCUUCAGAUUUACUUUACACCACACUGUGGUAAGGUGAAUCCCUUCAGACUUUACACCACACUGUGGUAAGGUGAAUCCCUUCAGAUUUACUUUACACCACACUGUGGUAAGGUAAAUCCCUUCAGAUCUACUUUACACCACACUGUGGUAAGGUGAAUCCCUUCAGAUUUACUUUACACCACACCGUGGUAAGGUGAAUCCCUUCAGAUUUACUUUACACCACACUGUGGUAAGGUAAAUCCCUUCAGAUUUACUUUACACCACACUGUGGUAAGGUGAAUCCCUUCAGAUUUACUUUACACCACACCGUGGUAAGGUGAAUCCCUUCAGAUUUACUUUACACCACACUGUGGUAAGGUAAAUCCCUUCAGAUCUACUUUACACCACACUGUGGUAAGGUGAAUCCCUUCAGAUUUACUUUACACCACACCGUGGUAAGGUGAAUCCCUUCAGAUUUACUUUACACCACACUGUGGUAAGGUAAAUCCCUUCAGAUCUACUUUACACCACACUGGUAAGGUGAAUCCCUUCAGAUCUACUUUACACCACACUGUGGUAAGGUAAAUCCCUUCAGAUCUACUUUACACCACACUGUGGUAAGGUAAAUCCCUUCAGAUUUACUUUACACCACACUGGUAAGGUGAAUCCCUUCAGAUUUACUUUACACCACACUGUGGUAAGGUGAAUCCCUUCAGACUUUACACCACACUGUGGUAAGGUAAAUCCCUUCAGAUGGGUCCCAAGGUUCUACGUGUGACACUUGACAUGGGAGGUAGAUCCGUUUGAGGAUAUGUUAACUAAUUUAAUAAUUUAGUUUUGAUUUCAAAACUACUUAAUAGGACUUAUUUAUAAUGCCAGUACAGUGAUAAAGAAAAAAAGAUGACAUUUAACUGAUAAUCAUUAUGAAACUGGUCUUAUUCCAGUAGUCAGUAUAUAUUAAUCAUGUAACAAUGCAUGAGUUUAAUAUUGUGAAUUGUUGUUGUUGAACUAAUUUUUUUUCAUCCAGGUUGAUGUGAUAAUAAACAGUUCUUAACCUUAUCUAAAAUGCAUCAUUUGCACAUAUUUGCUUAAAAAGAUGGUUUAAUUAUUUCAUGUAAAGUUCAUUGAAACCAUUUAGAUUUAUUCAAAAUAUCUUCCACACUAUGAUUAUGUCUGAAAAUAUUAAUUUUAUUAAUUAAAUAAUUUCAAUUUAUUAUCCAAACAGUGAAACAGCAUUGCAUUCCUAGUUUGGCUAAAGUACAUUUUAUAAAUAUAUGUCUGCAGAAAAACAGGUUUUUGAUUCUUGGAUGUGAUUUAUGUACUUAAUUGUCAACAUGAAUGUUGAGUUUAAAAGUAAAUGCAGCAGUUGUUUCUUCAUCUACUAAAGAGAUGUUGUAACAAAAAUACAUUUUUUCUGCAGAUUUUCAGAAGCUAAAUUUUAUGUCAAUGUUCAGGAUUACACUCUUACACUAUUCAUAAUUAGUUAUCAUGCUGAUAUACUGUUGUUAAGCAUAUAGACAUUUUUCUCAGAAAACUGAAAAAAAAAGAAAAAAAAUAUUAUCAGAGGCUAUUCAUUCAAUUAAUUAUAAUUACCAGAUUUUUUUUCUCUGAAAAUUAUGAACAAAGAAAAAAAUAAUAUAAUUAUAGCCUGAUUAUAAAAUUCAAUAAGUUUUCUAGCUGAGAUACUGUUUUGCAGCAUAUAGACUAUUUUCUCUGAAAAUUAUGAGAAACAAAACCCAACUUAAUAAUUAGUGCUUAAGCUUUGUACUAACUAAAGAUGUCAUUAACGUAUCCAUAAUAUCACAAUAAUCCUGACCGUAAAUUUAGCUUCUGCCAUAACAAGGAUUAAGUGUACUGAUUAUCACCCCUUAAUAUUUUAUGAACUAAUAGUAAACUGGUU